rnacentral:lncRNA from 1 species
GGAGCCUGGAGGGGCUUGGAGGGCAGAGGAGGAGCCCGGAGGAAGGAAGGCUGAGGAGGCUCUUGGGGGAGGAUGGCUUAGUCUGGACAGGAAAAGGGCUGGAGCAAGAGGUUGAGAAGGGCUCUAGGAGGAGCUCUGGGCCCAGGACAGCUGCCCCCCAGCCAGAGACAGAGAUCCCUCGGGUUGGAUCACCGGCUUUGUGGCCCUCUCCCUAACUCCAUCAGGUAGGCAAGGUGCAUUGUGGGAGGGGAGGGAGGCCUGCCAGUCCUGCUUGGCUGCUUGGGUCUGAGAGGGGCUUCAUCAGCCCCCAGUCCCGGGGGGUCUCUGGCAGCGCCGGGUCCAGGAGGCGAGAGCUGACGUCUUUUCAUUAUGGCGCCUCUUGUUCUCUAGCCUGUUCCAAUUACCAGCGCCUGUUACUUAUUUAUGAACAAACAAACAUUAUUACGCUCUACCGGAAAGGCUUGGGGGUAGAUCGCUGGGGGCCCUGGGACCUGUAUUACAGCCCGGGUGCCCCACUCUGUGCCACACACAGGAUGAAACAGUUCCUGCCCCAGAGGGUUACCCAAAGGAAACAGAAAGCAUGCGGUCAGUUUGGGGAGGGAGUGGAGCUAGCUGCUCCUUGAAUCCCUGCGGGCUUCAUGGAGGCUGCGCUGAGCCUUGAAGGAGCCAGUCAGAGAUGCAAAAGUAAACUUCCAGACGCCGGUGUGUGCGGGGCCCCGGCGGAGCCCGGGCCGGGAGGAAGGAGGAGAAGGGGUGGCGGCGGCCGGGCUGGGCAGAGCGGAGCUCGCGAGGGCCCGGCUCGGGGAGACCUUGGGGGGCUUCUCGCCCUGCUUCCCCGCCUCGGCUUCGGCCGCGAACCCCGGGCGCCGCCGCCUCGGCUGCUUGGUCCCGCGUCUGCCCGGCUCCCGAGGCGUCCCCGCCGCCAGCCCGGACCCCCGAAAGUCCGGAGACUCCAGGCCCGGGGCAGUCCUGCAGUCCCGCCGCGGCCCGGGCGGCCAGAUCCCCAGGCGCCAGCACGGGUUCUCUGGGUGCUCCCCCUGACCUCCCCUUGCUCCUGGGCGGCCCCAUGGCUCAGCCCAUUCCAUCCCCUGGGGAGAAACGUCUCGGGCCACGUCCUCAUCCCUGACCCGGGACCCCCGCCCAGCCGCAGACAGUGGGCCUAAGAGAACUGGGCGUUGGGUGCCCGCGGAUGCCCAAGACUUCCAGGGCCGGUGUGAGCGGCCAACAGCCCAGCAUGGAGCCCGGCGUCCGGGGCACCGGGCAGAUGGCCUUCCUCAGCAAUCUGCUGGCGGCUUACUCCUUCAUCAGUGAGCACCCUGAGCGCGCGGCCCUGUGCUUCGUGUCCGGCGUGUGCGUGGGGCUCGUGCUCACGCUGGCCGCCUUGGUGCUGACCGUGUCCUGCCGCGCCGACUGCCGGCCGCGGCGCGGGAAGAAGGGCCCGGCCGGGCGCCGCGGCGGCAGCUGCGACCUCAGCGCCAGCGACAGCGAGGACAGCGGCGACAGCGGCGACGGCUGCUCCUCGGCCGGCUCCGCGCGCAGGCCCUGGCUCUUCGAGCGGCCGCCCCACAGGAACGUGUUCACGUCGGCCGAGGAGCUGGAGCGGGCGCAGCGGCUGGAGGAGAGGGAGCGCAUCAUCCGCGAGAUCUGGCUGAACGGGCAGCCCGACGGCCCCGGCCCGGCCACCCGCAGCCUGAACCGCUACUACUGAGGGGGGCGCGGGGAGAGCCGGAGGAACGGGCAGCCCGACGGCCCCGGCCCGGCCACCCGCAGCCUGAACAGCUACUGCUGAGGGGGGCCGGGGAGAGCCGGCGGAACUCCCUGCCCGACGGCCCCGGCCCGGCCACCCGCAGCCUGAACCUCUACUACUGGGGG